AUGAACGCUGGCGGCGUGCCUAAUACAUGCAAGUCGAGCGAACAGACGAGGAGCUUGCUCCUCUGACGUUAGCGGCGGACGGGUGAGUAACACGUGGAUAACCUACCUAUAAGACUGGGAUAACUUCGGGAAACCGGAGCUAAUACCGGAUAAUAUAUUGAACCGCAUGGUUCAAUAGUGAAAGACGGUUUUGCUGUCACUUAUAGAUGGAUCCGCGCCGCAUUAGCUAGUUGGUAAGGUAACGGCUUACCAAGGCGACGAUGCGUAGCCGACCUGAGAGGGUGAUCGGCCGCACUGGAACUGAGACACGGUCCAGACUCCUACGGGAGGCAGCAGUAGGGAAUCUUCCGCAAAGGGCGAAAGCCUGACGGAGCAACGCCGCGUGAGUGAUGAAGGUCUUCGGAUCGUAAAACUCUGUUAUUAGGGAAGAACAAAUGUGUAAGUAACUAUGCACGUCUUGACGGUACCUAAUCAGAAAGCCACGGCUAACUACGUG
rnacentral:rRNA from 1 species